GAUGAACGCUAGCGGGAGGCCUAACACAUGCAAGCCGAGCGGUAGAGUUUCUUCGGAAACUUGAGAGCGGCGCACGGGUGCGGAACACGUGUGCAACCUGCCUUUAUCUGGGGGAUAGCCUUUCGAAAGGAAGAUUAAUACCCCAUAAUAUACUGAAUGGCAUCAUUCGGUAUUGAAAACUCCGGUGGAUAGAGAUGGGCACGCGCAAGAUUAGAUAGUUGGUGAGGUAAUGGCUCACCAAGUCUGCGAUCUUUAGGGGGCCUGAGAGGGUGAUCCCCCACACUGAUACUGAGACACGGACCAGACGCCUACGGGAGGCAGCAGUGAGGAAUAUUGGACAAUGGGUGAGAGCCUGAUCCAGCCAGCCCGCGUGAAGGACGACGGCCCUAUGGGUUGUAAACUUCUUUUGUAUAGGGAUAAACCUACUCUCGUGAGAGUAGCUGAAGGUACUAUACGAAUAAGCACCGGCUAACUCCGUGCCAGCAGCCGCGGUAA
rnacentral:rRNA from 1 species